CGUGAAUUCAUCUCCGGGGGUAGAGCACUGUUUCGGCUAGGGGGCCAUCCCGGCUUACCAACCCGAUGCAAACUGCGAAUACCGGAGAAUGUUAUCACGGGAGACACACGGCGGGUGCUAACGUCCGUCGUGAAGAGGGAAACAACCCAGACCGCCAGCUAAGGUCCCAAAGUCAUGGUUAAGUGGGAAACGAUGUGGGAAGGCCCAGACAGCCAGGAUGUUGGCUUAGAAGCAGCCAUCAUUUAAAGAAAGCGUAAUAGCUCACUGGUCGAGUCGGCCUGCGCGGAAGAUGUAACGGGGCUAAACCAUGCACCGAAGCUGCGGCAGCGACGCUGAUGCGUUGUUGGGUAGGGGAGCGUUCUGUAAGCCUGCGAAGGUGGCCUGUGAGGGUUGCUGGAGGUAUCAGAAGUGCGAAUGCUGACAUAAGUAACGAUAAAGCGGGUGAAAAGCCCGCUCGCCGGAAGACCAAGGGUUCCUGUCCAACGUUAAUCGGGGCAGGGUGAGUCGACCCCUAAGGCGAGGCCGAAAGGCGUAGUCGAUGGGAAACGGGUUAAUAUUCCCGUACUUGGUGUUACUGCGAAGGGGGGACGGAGAAGGCUAUGUUGGCCGGGCGACGGUU
rnacentral:rRNA from 2 species